AUUAGGGACAAAACAAAAUGUCUCUUGUCUCUCUUUGUUUUGCGAUGCAUUUGCUCAAAAUCAAUAUUCUCUUCUUCUGGAUUUUGAUAAAGAAGAAGAGUUUUCGAAGACGAUUUCAUGGGUUUUCGAUUCCAAUCUCAUGAUGGAUGGUUCGGCGGAGACAGUUGACCGGUUCCGUUUCCGGCGAGUAAUCUCCUGGAACGUCGCCGUCUGGGUUCGGAGAAAUUGCAGAGCAGGAGCUUAAGCAGUACGACGGCUCCGAUUCAAAGCUCAUGCUUAUUGAAUCCAACCUAAGUUCUCUCUAUGACUCUAUUCCAUGAACACACUUCGUUUCAUAUAUAAGUGUUCAAGCAGGACCUUUUUGUCAAACUAUUUUUUGCAUUUCCUAUGUUGCUAAUUUGCAUUAAUUUUUCAGGAUGAUGAGACUUCUAGCUAGGACUCUAUAUGAUGAUAAUCUUACUACGUUAAGCGAUAAUCAGAAGAAAAAUCUGCAAAAGGUGACAACAGUUGAGGGAAUAACUUUGUGGUGCUGGAAGCUCUUAUGAGGUUUGUGUGCAUCUAUCCCCGUAAAGAGGUAUGUGUGCAAUGUAAAGAGGCGUCAGCGCCAAAGACUCCAGUUUGCAGAGGUCUGCGUAUAAACAGUCUAAAGAAAGUGUUCUGAGCUUUCAAAGUCAAGAUUCUCUUUUGAUUGUUUGGUGGACCUUUGCUGUUAAUGGAGCUUGUGUUUUUGUUGAGAGGAGUUCCUUCACUAAGUGGCUCUCUCACCCAUGGGUCUUCUUCGUGGGAGUGAAUCUCUUUUCGCCGCUUAAUCAGUAAUGUGUUGUUCAUUUAUAUUUUGUUUGGAUUUGCAACAGAAAUCAUUCUCCAAAGGAGUUAAUAUAUAAAGUUUGGAAGUGAGAAGGAUAGCAAGGAGUUUUGUGAUUCGUUUGAGGAAUGGAGAAACGAUGCUCUUGUUCGAGGAUCAUCCACAGUUUCAGCUAGUAAAAGCAAGUUUGACGAUAAGAUUGAGACGUCCUCGGCCAAAAUGUAUUUCCACUUCUAUGGACAGCUUCUUCAUCAGCAAAACAUGCUACAAGAUUAUGUGAGGACAGGUAAAAUUAUAUGGCCUUAUAUGUAUCUACCAAUUUAUUUACUAAGAAACAACAUAAAGUAUUUACCAAUAAUCUGCAUAUUUUUUAUUGUA